UUGCACCUAAUAGUGAUGGAAUAGAAGCCGCUCCUUGUUCGAUGGUCUAGCAACGUGAUCCUCUAAAACUGUCGGUAUCAAAGAAAAAAUAAAUAUUAUUCAUAAGUAUAACAAUAAUGACAUAACAAAAUGAAAUAAAAAGUAAAAUAUACUUACCACAAUGUCCAUCACGCUGCCUGAAGGACGGAACCUCAUCUCG
rnacentral:lncRNA from 1 species